rnacentral:lncRNA from 1 species
GAUCUUUAAUUUGCUCAGCACCAAACUCCGCCGUCUUUGUUCAAGAACACCCCUAAUAUCGUCUCGUCGAGACGGCCACGAUUCUGACUCGAAACGUCAUUGUUCCUGUUAUUGUGAUACUAUUCCAACAACAAAAAGCAAAAUUAUACGAGAACAAACCAAUCAACGGAAUUGCAAAUUAAAGAUAACAUCUUCGCAGAUCACAUCUAACCUUUAUUCAAAACCACCAUACAACAACCAAAUUGCAGCGUUGCCGCACUUUCCUGGAGUACUGAAAUUUUCAGGAAGUAUCAUUGUAGAGCCAACAAUCAGCAUUUCAGAUGUUAAAGAAGCAAUCGAUCAAUUGCACAAACACAACUACAUAAUUCGCCGCCGUCCAGUCCCCGUUCGCCGUCAUCAUUGCAUCUGAUCACUGUUGUUACAUUGGAGAAAAUUUUUAUAUCGGAUGAUUGCUCGGUUACCUAAAAGUCUUCACCGGAAAACUCUACUUCUGAUGCUUUGCCGGAGAGAGGGAGAAUAAAAAUGGUGUAGGG